GAGUGGCGAACGGGUGAGUAAUAUAUCGGAACGUGCCCUAGAGUGGGGGAUAACGCAGCGAAAGCUGUGCUAAUACCGCAUACGAUCUACGGAUGUAAGCGGGGGACCUUCGGGCCUCGCGCGAUUGGAGCGGCCGAUGUUAGAUUAGGUAGUUGGUGGGGUAAAGGCUCACCAAGUCGACGAUCUAUAGCUGGUCUGAGAGGACGACCAGCCACACUGGAACUGAGACACGGUCCAGACUCC
rnacentral:rRNA from 1 species